rfam:Bacillus marisflavi strain JCM 11544 scaffold1, whole genome shotgun sequence.
ACUACAUCGUUGAAUAAGAGGAGUACAUUCAAGUAAGGCUUUACAGAGAAUCAGGGAUGGUGAGACCCUGAUAAGUCAGCUUGUCUGGAAUGGACUUAUGAGAGAUGGUCUGAACAGUGCAGUAGGAUCAUACGGAUUUCCCACGUUACAGGGAUAGGGUAUAGGCUGAUCAAGCCCGUACCUGAAUAAGAGGGGGACACUUGUCCCCAACCAGAGGUGGCAACGCGGUCAGCAUCGUCCUCUAU